rnacentral:misc_RNA from 1 species
AAGUCGUAACAAGGUUUCCGUAGGUGAACCUGCGGAAGGAUCAUUAACACGUAUCCACAUUUAAACUCAAACCACCACGAACUGUGCUCCCUGGCCUUCCAACUUCUCUUGCUGUCCGAUGUGGGUUGUAAUGGGUUGCAAUCGGUUUUUCGACCCUCGGGUUGGGCCUUCGAUUGUAACAUACUCAUGUCCGACUAUCACUCCACCGAGAGUGAGGCGGAGAGACCGGAUCGCUGGGCUUAUUUCAUCAAUCUGCCUCUCAACCAUUUUGAGUUGGUGGUGCGAUACCCAUACCUAUUUCACCCUAUUUUACCUAUUUGACUAAUUAUCAUUAUUCCACUGGGAGAAAUCCCUUUAAGGAAUGACCUAAGAUUUAUCUUAACUAAGCACAACUCUUAGCAAUGGAUAUCUUGGUUCUC